GCACUCUUAGCUCAGUCGGUAGAGCACGCCCUUCACACGGGCGGGGUCGCAGGUUCGAGUCCUGCAGAGUGCA
rnacentral:tRNA from 1 species